UACGUAGGGUGCAAGCGUUAAUCGGAAUUACUGGGCGUAAAGCGUGCGCAGGCGGUUGUGCAAGACCGAUGUGAGAUCCCCGGGCUUAACCUGGGAAUGGCAUUGGUGACUGCACGGCUAGAGUGUGUCAGAGGGGGGUAGAAUUCCACGUGUAGCAGUGAAAUGCGUAGAGAUGUGGAGGAAUACCGAUGGCGAAGGCAGCCCCCUGGGAUAACACUGACGCUCAUGCACGAAAGCGUGGGGAGCAAACAGG
rnacentral:rRNA from 1 species